rnacentral:rRNA from 1 species
AGCGAACGUUAGCGGCGGGCCUAACACCUGCAAGUCGAGCGAGAAAGGGGCUUCGGCCCUGAGUAAAGCGGCGGACGGGUGAGUAACACGGAGGUAAUCUUCCUUCGCGCGGGGGACAACGGUCCGAAAGGACCGCUAAUACCGCGUACGUUCCCGAGGACCCUGGUCCUUGGGAGGAAAGCUAGGUCGCCAGCUCCGGCACUCGGAGAGGAGCCGGCGUCGCAUCAGCUAGUUGGUGGGGUAAUGGCCUACCAAGGCGAAGACGGGUAGCUGGUCUGAGAGGAUGAUCAGCCACACUGGGACUGAGACACGGCCCAGACUCCUACGGGAGGCAGCAGUGGGGAAUAUUGGACAAUGGGCGCAAGCCUGAUCCAGCCACGCCGCGUGAGUGAUGAAGGCCUUCGGGUCGUAAAGCUCUGUGGGGAGGGACGAACCGCUGCACGUGCAUAGCGUGCAGCGUGACGGUACCUCCUUAGCAAGCACCGGCUAACUUCGUGCCAGCCGCCGCCGUAA